AACGAACGCUGGCGGCAGGCUUAACACAUGCAAGUCGAACGCCCCGCAAGGGGAGUGGCAGACGGGUGAGUAACGCGUGGGAAUCUACCCAGUUCUGCGGAACAACAGUUGGAAACGACUGCUAAUACCGCAUACGCCCUACGGGGGAAAGAUUUAUCGGAAUUGGAUGAGCCCGCGUAAGAUUAGCUAGUUGGUGAGGUAAUGGCUCACCAAGGCGACGAUCUUUAGCUGGUCUGAGAGGAUGAUCAGCCACACUGGGACUGAGACACGGCCCAGACUCCUACGGGAGGCAGCAGUGGGGAAUAUUGGACAAUGGGCGCAAGCCUGAUCCAGCCAUGCCGCGUGAGUGAUGAAGGCCUUAGGGUUGUAAAGCUCUUUCAGUAGGGAAGAUAAUGACGGUACCUACAGAAGAAGCCCCGGCUAACUUCGUGCCAGCCGCCGCGGUAACAC
rnacentral:rRNA from 1 species